UACAGUACACGGUAGUGCACGGUAGUAGAGAGCAUCAGGCCACCAAUCAGCUGCAUGAUCCCGACUCCUAGUAUAAAUACUACUACAACUGCGGUGGCCUUGCACAAGUUAGUUGUUCUGGGCGUGCAUGUGGCGGCAGUGCGAUAUUUUCUAAGGCGGACGCCCAUAGCACCUUUUGAACGGAUGAGGAAGCACGCCUCUCCCGCCUCGUGUGUGGGUAGAGGCUGGCCCUCUCGGUACAUUCAUAUUAGUACUACCAACAAGAGUACGUGAAGCAGUUUUCAUGUACAUACUCUUGCCACCAAGUCCCAGUACCCAGUAGUAGUAGUAGUAGUAGUGGAAUAUAUUAUUUUGAUAGGGAAGGCUCGUACACGACAGUCAGACGUUGCCGCAUGGUACAAACUACUACCUACCGUCCUACCGGUACAACGGCCCGGCCCAGGCCCAUCAGCUCACAUACAUGUACAUGGCGAUUGUACAUGUACAAGUUAAUCCUUGGCUGUUGCAACUAAAGUUCUCGUAAGCCGCUGAGUUCGCUAAGUGUGUACUGUCGUAUGGACGCCACAAUAAGCUGAAGAGCCAGUCUCAGCUUGCGAGCUCAUGCGGCCGACGCAAGCCCCCGGUGCGGCCCCGUCCGCCCGGAAUCGUAUUGGUUCUCCUCCUCCUUAGGCCUCUUCCAAACCUACUUGCUACCCCGAUUAUUUUCCGUUCCGGGACCGUAGGCGUCUUCAAGGCUGUUCAACAAGCCAGAGAAUCUUUUCAGCAUAGUCUACCAGUCUACCACAGUCUACCGUCCCGGUUGGAAGCCAUAAGGUAUACAAUGUACAUGUACUUGCAAGUGCCUGCGCUACGGCAUGUGUUUUAUAAGGACUUCUAAUUCACUUUUUUUACGGUUCGCGUCGCGUGAGAGCUUGUCUACUGACACUUCUGGAUACGUGUAGGAAUUCAAAUUGUUCCCUUUAAUACUUAGUGGCAAUUAUGUGCAAGAACAGCUGCAUGUACAUGUACCUGUUCUUGCAGUGUUUUUGUGACCUGUAGCCUUCUGCAUUGUUAUUUUCGCAUUAGACAUUUUUUAGCAACUCUCUUCAUAGUGUAUAAGUAAUAUUAUGUACAUAUUAUACAUGUACAUGUACAUGUACCUGCAUUCAGCGGUGCUGAUCCGCAGCCAUAGUCGAUAUGGAAAAAAGUUAAAAAAACAAGCUUCUCCUUGG